UGCGUAGGUGGUUUCUUAAGUCAGAGGUGAAAGGCUACGGCUCAACCGUAGUAAGCCUUUGAAACUGGGAAACUUGAGUGCAGGAGAGGAGAGUGGAAUUCCUAGUGUAGCGGUGAAAUGCGUAGAUAUUAGGAGGAACACCAGUUGCGAAGGCGGCUCUCUGGACUGUAACUGACACUGAGGCACGAAAGCGUGGGGAGCAAGCA
rnacentral:rRNA from 1 species